rnacentral:misc_RNA from 1 species
AUGACAACGGAAGACAGUCGCAGGCCAAUUUACCGCAAAAAUACAAAUUGCACCUGCGGAUGGGAUGUAAAGUUCGGUUACGGCGUGGCAUUUACGCUGGCCGUCUUCGAGGUGAAACGUCUCCUCGUGCUCGCCUUGGAGAUUUUCGCGGAAUGGCAGGUGAUUCGAUUCGCAGGUGGUUUCCAGCCGGUCGCCCUCACCUUAGCGGAGGUGGCUCUAGGAUUGCCAUGCGCCCUUAUAACAGUACGCACCAUACGCAGGCGCAACUUACCGAGUUUUCGCUUGAAGACUAAGCUAGUGCUAAGAUGUCUUUUGAUAAUAAUAAUUAUAUGUACUGCUAUGAACACAGCGACCUUAGCCUCAAUAGGGUAUCGUGUCAGUGUAAGGCAAAAGACGCUAGUCGAUGUCUUCAAUACAUCCAUGCGCCUGUACGUCAGUGUAGCGUCAUACAAGUAUGCGAUUGACGAAAUCCAAUUCGUAUUACAGUGUUGCGGUCACACUUCUUACACUGACUGGUUUCUCUUCGAUUGGCAGAAGGUGGAUUACGCGUCCCGGGAGGAAAUGGCAGGACAAAGCAGAAUCUCGGAUGAGGACUAUAGAGAUCUUGGAGUCCCUUUUAGUUGCUGUAAUUUACGCGUUGUGGCACCCUGUAUGCACAUGCAAAUAACAGAUGAGAAAACUAUAAAUGUGAACGGCUGCGCGGAAGUUAUCAGCCCCAUUCUUCUCAGAAUCGUCAUAGUCGCUUAUAUCAUGACUAGCACUUUAAUCAUUAUACAAGUGUUACUGGUCUUUUUAAUUACUAGAAUGGUCUGCAGAUUCGUACCUCUCCAAACGUCCUCUCCUCGGAUAAGAUGUACUGCUGCGCCAUUCACCAUUAUAGGCACACUUCCAAGGCCUUAUGUGCAACAAUUUUCUUCGGUUGAGAAAUCCAUCUGGCGUAAAAAAACUAUGCGUCGUCGUCCAUUGUCUACGAAUGACGUUGAUAUCAAGGAAAACAUAAAACUUAGAAGAAGCAGUUCUAUUUUGAAUUACAAAAAUUGCAAUACUUGGGACGUGGCAAGGAUUAAACCGAGCGUUCACGAAGAACAUAGAGUAUCUGUGAAGUGUCUUCGCAACAAACGUACACGUUGAAACUCCUGCUGUGCUAAUGAUUCAUAGAUCCAUUUAGCCAUUAAAGCAACGCGGUUCUUUCCAUAAACUGCGCAUUAAUGAUGGUAAAAUAUUAAUUACAAUGAUUAGAGAGGUGUUUCAGAUGCGGUAAUCGCGCAUAAUUCGCCGCACGUAUAAUUGCCAGGUUUCAUUGUCUUAAUGUAAAACCAGCUUUGGUGCCAGAUCCGCUUUAAGAAAAUUAACAUAAAAGAGAUGGCGGAUAAUCUGCUCGUAUGUAUAUUAGUAUAUUUUUCGCGCGCGGAAAAUUUCUCAUAAUAAGCUGGACAUGUUUCAACUGAGGAACAGCUGGGGAGGGCUCGGGCGGGUUCGGGAGCGCUCGGGCCAGCUCGGGAGCGCUCGGGCCUAGUCGGGUGCGUUCGGCGACGCGCGCCAGCCCGAUCUCGCCGCUUGAAUAAUCGUUUGUCAGUUCGCGAACAGCCGUGCGUUAGCACAGUUCGGUUCUCACUUACGGUGUUUCGAGUACGGGCCGAGUGAUCGCUUCCGACCGCCAUUUCGCCGUCGUAGCAUGUGCCCACUAGUCCGGAAUCACGUAUACUACUUAGCGCAUCGUCAAUCGUGCAAUAAACUCGUCUCUUACGGCUACCGUUAGA